rnacentral:rRNA from 1 species
CCUACGGGAGGCUGCAGUAGGGAAUAUUGCUCAAUGGGGGAAACCCUGAAGCAGCAACGCCGCGUGGAGGAUGAAGGUUUUCGGAUUGUAGACUACUUUUGUUAGAGACGAUAAUGACGGUAUCUAACGAAUAAGCACCGGCUAACUCCGUGCCAGCAGCCGCGGUCAUACGGAGGGUGCAAGCGUUACUCGGAAUCACUGGGCGGAAAGAGCUAGUCGGCGGUAUAGCAAGUCAGAUGUGAAAUCCUAUGGCUUAACCAUAGAACUGCAUUUGAAACUGGUAUUCUAGAGUAUGGGAGAGGUAGGUUGAAUUCUUGGUGGAGGGGUAAAAUCCGUAGAGAUCAAGAGGAAUACUCAUUGCGAAGGCGACCUGCUAGAACAUAACUGACGCUGAUGCGCGAAAGCGUGGGGAGCAAACAGGAUUAGAUACCCUAGUAGUC